GGUCGUGUGGCCCAAUGGCAAGGCGUCUGACUACGAAUCAGAAGAUUGUGGGUUCGAUCCCCAUCAUGAUCA
rfam:Nectria haematococca mpVI 77-13-4 chromosome 2 genomic scaffold NECHAsca_18_chr2_1_0, whole genome shotgun sequence.